rnacentral:lncRNA from 1 species
CUAUUUCCCUUCCCUACCCUUCCCUUUCCACCCUAAAUCUAAAACAAUUUCCUCUCUCAUCUCUGUGCUCCAUCUCUCAUCUUUGUGCUCACCCCUAACACUAACGCCCUCACCUCAAAGUGCCUCGCCUCUGAGCUCCAUCAACUUCCAGCGGCGCUUCCACCAUCCACCGUCCAGCCUCCAGUCUCUUUCUGAGUAGAGCCACACAUGCAUCUCGCCGCGAGAUUCUCGCGCCUGUGCCUCCACUCUCCUCUCGACUGGACUGAUUCACGAGCUAACUCCUCCUCAGUCCUCACCUCAAUCCUCUAUCGAUCUUUAGUCUCUCUUUCCAUGCAAUCAUCGGCGUCCGGCCGUCGCUCUCUAUCGGCUCUCCAUGCAUCGUCGGGCAGUCGGCAAUUUGGGCAAUUUGGUCGUGCUUAUUCCACAGCCCUCAGUCCUCUCUGAGUCUCUGUGUCGCGCUUCCAGCCUUGAGCCUUUCACAGUCCGUGGACCAGACUCCGAGACCAAGAGAUCCAAGAGUGCCUCUCGCCCCUCCAGACCAAGAGUCAACUGCAAAAUAUAAGUAAAUAUUUAUGAUUUGCUGUUGAUUGUUGAAUUUGUGUGCCGUUAAUUGUUGAAGUAAACCCAUGGCCGUCUAGAAAUUAACUGUUAUUUAAUCUUGUUUAAUCUUGAAGUAAACCCAUGUUUAAUCUUGUUUAAUCUUGAUCGUUGAAGUAAACCCAUGCUGAAUUUGUGUUAUUUAAUCUUGUUUGGAUGUGUAAAUGAAAAUAUUAUGUGAAUAAUUUAGGAAAUUAGACAGAAAUUAAUUAAAACACUUCAAUUGAAUUUUAGAACACUAAAAACUAAAAAUCAAUGUAAAAAAAAAUAAUGAAAAGUUUGAAAAUCGAUUCAACUGAUCGAACCGACCGAAUCGAACCGAACCGAACUAGAUCGGUUCGAUU